rnacentral:rRNA from 1 species
GGCGGCAUGCCUAACACAUGCAAGUCGAACGCUAUUUAUAGAGUGGCGCACGGGUGAGUAACGCGUGGGAACCUGCCUUUCUCUGCGGGAUAACGGUUGGAAACGACCGCUAAUACCGCAUACGCCCUACGGGGGAAAGGUCCGCCGGAGAAAGAGGGGCCCGCGUCUGAUUAGCUUGUUGGUAGGGUAAUGGCCUACCAAGGCGACGAUCAGUAGCUGGUCUGAGAGGAUGAUCAGCCACACUGGGACUGAGACACGGCCCAGACUCCUACGGGAGGCAGCAGUGGGGAAUAUUGGACAAUGGGGGCAACCCUGAUCCAGCAAUGCCGCGUGUGUGAUGAAGGCCUUAGGGUUGUAAAGCACUUUCACUGGUGAAGAUGAUGACGGUAACCAGAGAAGAAGCCCCGGCUAACUUCGUGCCAGCAGCCGCGGUAAUACGAAGGGGGCGAGCGUUGUUCGGAAUUACUGGGCGUAAAGGGCGCGUAGGCGGUCUUUUAAGUUAGGCGUGAAAGCCCCGGGCUCAACCCGGGAACUGCGCUUAAGACUGGAAGACUAGAAAACGGAAGAGGGUAGUGGAAUUCCCAGUGUAGAGGUGAAAUUCGUAGAUAUUGGGAAGAACACCAGUGGCGAAAGCGGCUACCUGGUCCGAUUUUGACGCUGAGGCGCGA